rnacentral:rRNA from 1 species
UACGUAGGUGGCAAGCGUUGUCCGGAAUUAUUGGGCGUAAAGCGCGCGCAGGCGGUCUUUUAAGUCUGAUGUGAAAGCCCACGGCUCAACCGUGGAGGGUCAUUGGAAACUGGGGGACUUGGAGUGCAGAGAGGAAAGUGGAAUUCCAAGUGUAGCGGUGAAAUGCGUAGAGAUUUGGAAGGAACACCAGUGGCGAAGGCGACUUUCGUGGUCUGUAACUGACGCUGAGGCGCGAAAAGCGUGGGGAGCAAACAGG